UUUUAUGGGAAGAUAUUUCCUUUUUCACCAUAGGCCUCAAAGGGCUCCAAGUUUCCACUUACAGAUUCUACAAAAAGAGUGUUUCAAAACUGCUCUAGGAAAACGAAUGUUCAACUCUGUGAGUUGAAUGCAAGCAUCACAAAGUAGUUUCUGACAAUGCUUCUGUCUAGUUUUUAUGUGAAGAGAUACCUGUUUCCAACGAAGGCCUCAAAGCUGUCCAAAUAUCCACUUGCAAAUACUACAACAAAAGUGUUUCCAAUCUGCUCUAUCAAAAGAAAGAUUCAACUCUGUGAGUUGAAUGCACACAUCACAAAGAAUUUUCUGAGAAUGCUUCUGUAUAGUUUUUAAUUGAAGAUAUUCCUGUUUCCAGUGAAAUCCUCAAAGCUAUCCAAAUAUCCACUUUCAGAUUCUACAAAAAGAGUGUUUCAAAACUCCUGUCUCAAAAGAAAUGUUCAACUCUGUGAGUUGAGUGCACACAUCACAAAGAAGUUUCUGGGAAUGCUUCUGUCUAAUUUUUAUAUGAAGAUGUUUCCUUUUUCACCAUAAGGCACAAAUCGCUCCAAUUGUCCACUUCCAGAUACGACAAAAAGAGUGUUUCAAAACUGCUCCAUGAAAAGGAAUGUUCAUCUCUGUGAGUUGAAUGCAAACAUCACAAAGAAGUUUCUGAGAAUGCUUCUCUCUAGUUUUUAUGUGAAGAUAUUCCCGCUUCCAAUGAAAUACCCAAAGCUAUCCAAUUAUCCAUUUUGAGUUUCUCCAAAAAGAGUGUUUCAAAACUGCUGUAUUAAGGAAAGGUUCAACUCUCUUUGUUGAGUACACACAUCAUAAAGAAAUUUCUGAGAAUGCUUCUGUCUAGUUUUUAUGUGAAGAUAUUUCCUUUUUCACCAUAGACCUCAAAGCGCUCAAAAUGUACACUUCCAGAUACUACAAAAAGAGUGUUUCAAAACUGUUCUAUGAAAAGGAAUGUUCAACACUGUGAGUUGAUUGCGAGCGUCACAAAGAAGUUUCUGACAAUGCUUCUGUCUAGUUUUUCUGUGAAGAUAUUCCCGUUGCCAACAAAAGCCUCAUAGCUAUCCGAAUAUCCACUUGCAGAUUCUACAAAAAGAGUGUUUCAAAACUGCUGUAUCAAAAAAAAUGUUCAACUAUGUAAGUUGAGUACACACAUCACGAAGCAGUUUCUGAGAAUACUUCUGUCUAGUUUUCUGUGAAGAUAUUUCCUUUUUAACCAAAGGCCUCAAAGCGCUGCAAAUCUCUACUUUCAGAUACUACAAAAAGAGUGUUUCAAAACUGCUCUAUGAAAGGGAAUGUUCAUCUCUGUGAGUUGAAUGCAAAUAUCACAAAUUAGUUUCUUAGAAUGUUUCUGUCUCGUUUUUAUGUGAAGAUAUUCCCACUUCCAAGGAAAUACUCAAAGCGAUCCAUAUACCCACUUGCAAACCCUACAAAAAGAGUGUUUCAAAACUGCUCUUUCAAAAGAAAAGUUCAACCCUAUAAAGUUGAGUACACACAUCACAAAGAAGUUUCUGAGAAUUCUUCUGUCUAUUUUUGUGUGAAGAUAUUUCUUUCCCACCAUACUCCUCAAAGCUCUCCAAAUGUCCACUUUCAGAUUCCACAAAAAGGGAGUUUCAAAACUGCUCUGUCAAAAGAAAGGUUCAACUCUGUGAGUUGAGUGCACACAUCACAAACAAGCUUAUGAGAAUGCUUCUGACUAGUUUUUAUUUUAAGAUAUUUCCUUUUUCACCAUAGGCCUCAAAGCACACCAAAUGUCCACUUGCAGAUUCUACAAAGACAGUGUUUCAAAACUGCUGUAUCAAAGGAGCGGCUCAACUCUGUGAGUUGAAGGCAC
rnacentral:lncRNA from 1 species